UGCUUACACAUGCAGUCGUACGAUGGAUAAGCCCAGCUUGCUGGGUGGAUUAGUGGCGAACGGGUGAGUAACACGUGAGUAACCUGCCCUCGACUCCAGGAUAAGCCCGGGAAACUGGGUCUAAUACUGGAUAUUCAAUUUCUGCCGCAUGGUGGUUUUUGGAAAGGAUUCUGGUCGAGGAGGGACUCGCGGCCUAUCAGCUUGUUGGUGAGGUAAUGGCUCACCAAGGCGACGACGGGUAGCCGGCCUGAGAGGGUGACCGGCCACACUGGGACUGAGACACGGCCCAGACUCCUACGGGAGGCAGCAGUGGGGAAUAUUGCACAAUGGGCGAAAGCCUGAUGCAGCGACGCCGCGUGAGGGAUGACGGCCUUCGGGUUGUAAACCUCUUUCAGUAGGGAAGAAGCGAAAGUGACGGUACCUGCAGAAGAAGCGCCGGCUAACUACGUGCCAGCAGCCGCGGUAAUACGUAGGGCGCAAGCGUUAUCCGGAAUUAUUGGGCGUAAAGAGCUCGUAGGCGGUUUGUCGCGUCUGCCGUGAAAGUCCGGGGCUUAACUCCGGAUCUGCGGUGGGUACGGGCAGACUAGAGUGCUGUAGGGGAGACUGGAAUUCCUGGUGUAGCGGUGAAAUGCGCAGAUAUCAGGAGGAACACCGAUGGCGAAGGCAGGUCUCUGGGCAGUAACUGACGCUGAGGAGCGAAAGCAUGGGGAGCGAACAGGAUUAGAUACCCUGGUAGUCCAUGCCGUAAACGUUGGGCACUAGAUGUGGGGGACAUUCCACGUUUUCCGCGUCGUAGCUAACGCAUUAAGUGCCCCGCCUGGGGAGUACGGCCGCAAGGCUAAAACUCAAAGGAAUUGACGGGGGCCCGCACAAGCGGCGGAGCAUGCGGAUUAAUUCGAUGCAACGCGAAGAACCUUACCAAGGCUUGACAUGGACCGGAUCGGGCUAGAAAUAGUCUUUCCCUUCGGGGCUGGUUCACAGGGGGUGCAUGGUUGUCGUCAGCUCGUGUCGUGAGAUGUUGGGUUAAGUCCCGCAA
rnacentral:rRNA from 1 species